GUACCCUAAGAAUAAGGUCCGGCUAACUUCGUGCCAGCAGCCGCGGUAAUACGAAGGGACCUAGCGUAGUUCGGAAUUACUGGCCGUAAAGCGCGCGUAGGCCGUUGAGUUAGUUAAUUGUGAAAUCCCAAAGCUUAACUUUGGAACUGCAAUUAAAACUGCUCGACUAGAGUUUGAUAGAGGAAAGC
rnacentral:rRNA from 1 species